rnacentral:misc_RNA from 1 species
GAUGAAGAACGUAGCGAAAUGCGAUAAGUAGUGUGAAUUGCAGAAUUCAGUGAAUCAUCGAAUCUUUGAACGCACAUUGCGCCCCUUGGUAUUCCAUGGGGCAUGCCUGUUCGAGCGUCAUUUGUACCUUCAAGCUUUGCUUGGUGUUGGGUGUUUGUCUCGCCUUUGCGUGUAGACUCGCCUUAAAAUAAUUGGCAGCCGGCGUAUUGAUUUCGGAGCGCAGUACAUCUCGCGCUUUGCACUCAUAACGACAGCGUCCAAAAGUACAUUUUACACUCUUGACCUCGGAUCAGGUAGGGAUACCCGCUGAACUUAAGCAUAUCAAAAGCGGAGGA